AGAGUUCGAUUAUGGCUCAGGACGAACGCUGGCGGCGUGCUUAACACAUGCAAGUCGAACGGUAAGGCUCCAGCUUGCUGGGGUACACGAGUGGCGAACGGGUGAGUAACACGUGGGUGACCUGCCCUGCACUUCGGGAUAAGCCUGGGAAACUGGGUCUAAUACCGGAUAGGACCGCACCGUGAGGGUGUGGUGGAAAGUUUUUUCGGUGUGGGAUGGGCCCGCGGCCUAUCAGCUUGUUGGUGGGGUAAUGGCCUACCAAGGCGGCGACGGGUAGCCGGCCUGAGAGGGUGGACGGCCACAUUGGGACUGAGACACGGCCCAG
rnacentral:rRNA from 1 species